UGUAAAUAAUGCACUUCUCCACUUUCAUAUAAUAUGAUCCUUUUUGCUAAAUGACUUUAGUUUCAUUGUAGGAUGACUUAUUUGAUAACCAUUGAUGCAUACACGUUCCAGAUCAAUCUUGUGCUAUUUGGCAACCAAGGCGGUGAUCGAGGAAGCAAUGAUCUUUAUUUGUGGCAUGAACAUCAUUGAGCCUGGUGAAAUUAAUCCUCUCAAUUGUAUUGACUACAAAAGUCAACUUCUAGAUCUUCUCAAAACCAAUAAGAACUUAUUGAAGACAUUUCACAAAUCACAAGGGCCUACCUUAAGUUAAAACCCAGUGUCAAAUGUUGACCACAUCGGAAGAACAGGUCUUCGAUUGAGGGUACUCUGCACGGAUCGUUGAUAUGACCAUGGUUCUUUGAUGGUCAGAUAUGGUCUCCGAGGGUCAGGUAGCAUAUUCCGAUCAGGUCUACGGAAGGUGAGUUAUUGUUUGGUUAACAAAGUCUUCAGAUAGGCUAUUAACAGAGGUACCAAGAUUCAACAGAUCAUUUCUUCAAUACACACAAGGGCU